AAGCCUUGGCUAAGUGUGUACUUUAGUUUGAAGAAUCAGUUUAAAAAAGGGUUUAAAUUAGUUACUUACAAAAAUCAAAAUUUGAACUAGUUAUAUUAAAAAAAAUCGAAAUUUAGUGAGAAAGACAUAUGGUCAUCCGCCACUAGGUCUAACUGUCAACAUAUACUACAUUUUAGUGGGUUAUCAAAUUGUAUUUCAUAUCCACAAUAGAUACAAAUCCAUCUAUUUAAUCUGCAACAAGCUUCGGUUGGAGAGUUUUACUUAACUAAUUUACUUCACCCAUGAGAAUUGGAUAUAACGGAAGGAAGCAUGUGAUUACCAUUAAAACAUUUAAACGUAAUGUUAUACAGCUUGCUUUUGAAAUUAAGUAAACAAUACUGGAUAUGUUUUUGGGCAAAUCUCCAAAAUAGCACAUUUCUAAGUUUAUAUCACAAAAAUAACACUCAAAACCUAAAAUGACCAAAAUAGCACAUUUCUAAGUUUAUUCUUUGAAAAUUUUAUUUUUUUUAUUUUUCAAAAUUUGAAAUCUUAUCCCCAAAACCUCAUUUCUCAACUCUAAACCCUAAACCAUAAACCCUAAACCCUAAACCAUAAACCCUAAACCCUAAAAUCUAAACCCUAAACCCUAAACUCUAAAUCUUAAACCCUAAAUUCUAAACCCUAAACCCUAAACCAUAAACCCUAAACCCUAAAAUCUAAACCCUAAACCCUAAACUCUAAAUCUUAAACCCUAAAUUCUAAACCCUAAACCCUAAACCAUAAACCCUAAACCCUAAAAUCUAAACCCUAAACCCUAAACUCUAAAUCUUAAACCCUAAAUUCUAAACCCUAAACCCUAAACCAUAAACCCUAAACCCUAAAAUCUAAACCCUAAACCCUAAACCCUAAACCCUAAACCCUAAAAAAAAAAAAAAA
rnacentral:lncRNA from 1 species